CCUCAAAACCAAAAAUUAGUGUAUCAAACCGGAUCGGAACCGGAUAUAUUUGUUCACUCUGCAAACUCGAAUUUCUGGGAAAAAAAACUUAACACUGGAAUUGCCAGAACACCUUAUAAAUUGCAGGAACACAAAAAAAUUGCAGAGAAAGGAAAAAAUCUCAACAAAAUUUUAAACACUAACCUGGAGCACAGCACACACAUUCUUUAUCCCCAUUAGUAUAUGAGAAUCCCAACCAAGUCUCCCAUUUUGGAGAUAGAUGCAGCACGAGGAGAGAAUGUACACAGCAACAGAAAUCCAGAUAUUAUAAGGCAAGCAUUGAAACAAACCAGCGAAUGGGGACACAUCACUGUUGUGGAGACAGUCAAGAGUAGUCUUCACAUCGUCAUAACUUAGAGGGCAAGCAGGUCCUCUCGCAAGGAUGUAGGACAGACUGUGAAGCCAUGUUCAGGCACAUAA
rnacentral:lncRNA from 1 species